AUGAAGAACGUAGCGAAAUGCGAUAAGUAAUGUGAAUUGCAGAAUUCAGUGAAUCAUCGAAUCUUUGAACGCACCUUGCGCUCCUUGGUAUUCCGAGGAGCAUGCCUGUUUGAGUGUCAUUAAUAUAUCAACCUCUUCAGCUUAUGCUUGUUGAGUGUUGGAUGGUGGGGGUUUGCUGGUGUCUUAUGAAGUCAGCUCCUCUGAAAUGCAUUAGCGGAACAAUUUGUUGACCGUUCAUUGGUGUGAUAAAAAUAUCUACGCUAUUGACGUCAGUCAGUUCAGCUUCUAACAGUCCAUUGACUUGGACAAAUUUUUCAUUAAUGUGACCUCAAAUCAGGUAGGACUACCCGCUGAACUUAAGCAUAUCAAUAAGCGGAGGA
rnacentral:misc_RNA from 1 species